UACAGAGGGGGCAAGCGUUGUUCGGAAUUACUGGGCGUAAAGGGCGCGUAGGCGGCCUUCUAAGUCGAACGUGAAAUCCCUGGGCUCAACCCAGGAACUGCGUCCGAUACUGGGAGGCUUGAAUCCGGGAGAGGGAUGCGGAAUUCCAGGUGUAGCGGUGAAAUGCGUAGAUAUCGGGAAGAACACCAAAGGCGAAAGCACUCUGCUGGGCCGAAACUGACACUGAUAGACGAAAGCUAGGGGAGCAAACGGG
rnacentral:rRNA from 1 species